rnacentral:rRNA from 1 species
GUAAUGCCUAGGAAUCUGCCUGGUAGUGGGGGAUAACGUCCGGAAACGGGCGCUAAUACCGCAUACGUCCUGAGGGAGAAAGUGGGGGAUCUUCGGACCUCACGCUAUCAGAUGAGCCUAGGUCGGAUUAGCUAGUUGGUGGGGUAAAGGCCUACCAAGGCGACGAUCCGUAACUGGUCUGAGAGGAUGAUCAGUCACACUGGAACUGAGACACGGUCCAGACUCCUACGGGAGGCAGCAGUGGGGAAUAUUGGACAAUGGGCGAAAGCCUGAUCCAGCCAUGCCGCGUGUGUGAAGAAGGUCUUCGGAUUGUAAAGCACUUUAAGUUGGGAGGAAGGGCAGUAAGUUAAUACCUUGCUGUUUUGACGUUACCAACAGAAUAAGCACCGGCUAACUUCGUGCCAGCAGCCGCGGUAAUACGAAGGGUGCAAGCGUUAAUCGGAAUUACUGGGCGUAAAGCGCGCGUAGGUGGUUCAGCAAGUUGGAUGUGAAAUCCCCGGGCUCAACCUGGGAACUGCAUCCAAAACUACUGAGCUAGAGUACGGUAGAGGGUGGUGGAAUUUCCUGUGUAGCGGUGAAAUGCGUAGAUAUAGGA